rnacentral:rRNA from 1 species
AUUGAACGCUGGAGGCAGGCCUAACACCUGCAAGUCGAGCGAGCGGAGGACGGGGGAGUAAUGUCUGGGAAACUGCCUGCUGGUGGGGGAUAACUACUGGAAACGGUAGCUGAUAACGCAUACCAUCGGAUGUGCCCAGAGUGGAUUAGCUAGUAGGUGGGGUAACGGCUCACAUAGGCGACGAUCCCUAGCUGGUCUGAGAGGAUGACCAGCAACACUGGAACUGAGACACGGUCCAUACUCCUACGGGAGGCAGCAGUGGUGAAUAUUGCACAAUGGGCGCAAGCCUGAUGCAGCCAUGCCGCGUGUGUGAAGAAGGCCUUCGGGUGGUAAAGCACUUUCAGCGGGGAGGCGUUACCCGCAGAAGAAGCACCGGCUAACUCCGUGCCAGCAGCCGCGGUAAUUC